rnacentral:rRNA from 1 species
UACGUAGGGGGCAAGCGUUGUCCGGAAUCAUUGGGCGUAAAGCGCGUGUAGGCGGUUCGGUAAGUCUGCUGUGAAAGUCCAGGGCUCAACCCUGGGAUGCCGGUGGAUACUGUCGGACUAGAGUACGGAAGAGGCGAGUGGAAUUCCCGGUGUAGCGGUGAAAUGCGCAGAUAUCGGGAGGAACACCAAUUCGAAGGCAGCUCGCUGGGACGUUACUGACGCUGAGACGCGAAAGCGUGGGGGAGCAAACAGG